UUUUCUGGUUCCUUUUGUCUGCAGGAAGAGGUGCUUUCUCUCUCUGAGGGACUGGGGGCAGGAGAGAGGGAUGUACGGAAGAGGGCAGGAGAGGGGGAUGUGGAGAUGAGUGCAGUCAGGCCAGCGGUGGUAGUGCACCCCAGGGAGCUGAAGGGCCUCCUUCACAUCUGCACUGUCAUCGCUCAAGGUACUGAGCUGCUGUCUGAGGGGCGGUGUUCAGAGGCCCUGACUGUUCUUCAGAGAGACCCCUCCCCCUUGGCCCCAAGAGACCUGCUGGCCCAGAUACACACCCUCAUACGCCUCUGCCUCAGUGGCAAGGGUCAUCCCGUCAGUGCUGUGUUAUAGGAAGGCUUUGGAGACAGACAUGGGGUGUGUGUGUGCACUGCACCAGAGCCUCCUGGUUAACAGACAGCAGGGAAACACGCAAGCAGAGAUCCAGGCUCUACACCUGAUACACUCAGUGAGUAACACACAGACACACACACACACACACACACACAGAAUAAAGGCAUCUGUCUGAUGCUGCAGUUGACUGAGGUGUGAGGGAUCUUGUCUCUGUACCAGGCUCUGUACAUGCCACCUGCCACUCAGCCUGCUGUGGCCCCACCUCCUCUCGUCUGCCCCGCCUCUCUGCUCCCUGGCCAAUCCUUGUCCAGCCUGCUUUCAGUCCCCUCCCACCUCAGCAUACUACACAGUCUGACUCAAAAGUGUGUACUCCACGGAAGGCAAGUUCCCAGACAGCCGACGUUGAAUAUUUUUUUCUCUAUAAAG
rnacentral:lncRNA from 1 species